rnacentral:rRNA from 1 species
AUUGAACGCUGGCGGCAUGCCUUACACAUGCAAGUCGAACGGUAACAGGUCUUCGGAUGCUGACGAGUGGCGAACGGGUGAGUAAUACAUCGGAACGUGCCUAGUAGUGGGGGAUAACUACUCGAAAGAGUGGCUAAUACCGCAUGAGAUCUACGGAUGAAAGCAGGGGAUCGCAAGACCUUGUGCUACUAGAGCGGCCGAUGGCAGAUUAGGUAGUUGGUGGGAUAAAAGCUUACCAAGCCGACGAUCUGUAGCUGGUCUGAGAGGACGAUCAGCCACACUGGGACGGAGACACGGCCCAGACGCCUACGGGAGGCAGCAGUGGGGAAUUUUGGACAAUGUGCGAAAGCCUGAUUCAGCAAUGCCGCGUGCAGGAUGAAGGCCUUCGGGUUGUAAACUGCUUUUGUACGGAACGAAAAGCCCCGGGUUAAUACCCUGGGGUCAUGACGGUACCGUAAGAAUAAGCACCGGCUAACUACGUGCCAGCAGCCGCCGUAA